rnacentral:rRNA from 1 species
CUUCCAGGAAAAGCCUCUAAGCAUCAGGUAACAUCAAAUCGUACCCCAAACCGACACAGGUGGUCAGGUAGAGAAUACCAAGGCGCUUGAGAGAACUCGGGUGAAGGAACUAGGCAAAAUGGUGCCGUAACUUCGGGAGAAGGCACGCUGAUAUGUAGGUGAAGUCCCUCGCGGAUGGAGCUGAAAUCAGUCGAAGAUACCAGCUGGCUGCAACUGUUUAUUAAAAACACAGCACUGUGCAAACACGAAAGUGGACGUAUACGGUGUGACGCCUGCCCGGUGCCGGAAGGUUAAUUGAUGGGGUCAGCGCAAGCGAAGCUCUUGAUCGAAGCCCCGGUAAACGGCGGCCGUAACUAUAACGGUCCUAAGGUAGCGAAAUUCCUUGUCGGGUAAGUUCCGACCUGCACGAAUGGCGUAAUGAUGGCCAGGCUGUCUCCACCCGAGACUCAGUGAAAUUGAACUCGCUGUGAAGAUGCAGUGUACCCGCGGCAAGACGGAAAGACCCCGUGAACCUUUACUAUAGCUUGACACUGAACAUUGAGCCUUGAUGUGUAGGAUAGGUGGGAGGCUUUGAAGUGUGGACGCCAGUCUGCAUGGAGCCGACCUUGAAAUACCACCCUUUAAUGUUUGAUGUUCUAACGUGGACCCGUGAUCCGGGUUGCGGACAGUGUCUGGUGGGUAGUUUGACUGGGGCGGUCUCCUCCUAAAGAGUAACGGAGGAGCACGAAGGUUGGCUAAUCCUGGUCGGACAUCAGGAGGUUAGUGCAAUGGCAUAAGCCAGCUUGACUGCGAGCGUGACGGCGCGAGCAGGUGCGAAAGCAGGUCAUAGUGAUCCGGUGGUUCUGAAUGGAAGGGCCAUCGCUCAACGGAUAAAAGGUACUCCGGGGAUAACAGGCUGAUACCGCCCAAGAGUUCAUAUCGACGGCGGUGUUUGGCACCUCGAUGUCGGCUCAUCACAUCCUGGGGCUGAAGUAGGUCCCAAGGGUAUGGCUGUUCGCCAUUUAAAGUGGUACGCGAGCUGGGUUUAGAACGUCGUGAGACAGUUCGGUCCCUAUCUGCCGUGGGCGCUGGAGAACUGAGGGGGGCUGCUCCUAGUACGAGAGGACCGGAGUGGACGCAUCACUGGUGUUCGGGUUGUCAUGCCAAUGGCACUGCCCGGUAGCUAAAUGCGGAAGAGAUAAGUGCUGAAAGCAUCUAAGCACGAAACUUGCCCCGAGAUGAGUUCUCCCUGACCCUUUAAGGGUCCUGAAGGAACGUUGAAGACGACGACGUUGAUAGGCCGGGUGUGUAAGCGCAGCGAUGCGUUGAGCUAACCGGUACUAAUGAACCGUGAGGCUUAACCUU